rnacentral:rRNA from 1 species
AUUGAACGCUGGCGGCAGGCCUAACACAUGCAAGUCGAACGGUAACAGGAAGCAGCUUGCUGCUUCGCUGACGAGCGGCGGACGGGUGAGUAAUGUCUGGGAAGCUGCCUGAUGGAGGGGGAUAACUACUGGAAACGGUAGCUAAUACCGCAUAAUGUCGCAAGACCAAAGAGGGGGACCUUCGGGCCUCUUGCCAUCGGAUGUGCCCAGAUGGGAUUAGCUUGUUGGUGGGGUAACGGCUCACCAAGGCGACGAUCCCUAGCUGGUCUGAGAGGAUGACCAGCCACACUGGAACUGAGACACGGUCCAGACUCCUACGGGAGGCAGCAGUGGGGAAUAUUGCACAAUGGGCGCAAGCCUGAUGCAGCCAUGCCGCGUGUAUGAAGAAGGCCUUCGGGUUGUAAAGUACUUUCAGCGGGGAGGAAGGGAGUAAAGUUAAUACCUUUGCUCAUUGACGUUACCCGCAGAAGAAGCACCGGCUAACUCCGUG